rnacentral:rRNA from 1 species
AUUGAACGCUGGCGGCAUGCUUUACACAUGCAAGUCGAACGGCAGCGCGGGCUUCGGCCUGGCGGCGAGUGGCGAACGGGUGAGUAAUAUACCGGAACGUACCCAAGAGUGGGGGAUAACGUAGCGAAAGUUACGCUAAUACCGCAUACGAUCUAAGGAUGAAAGCAGGGGACCUUCGGGCCUUGUGCUCCUGGAGCGUCCGAUAUCUGAUUAGCUAGUUGGUGAGGUAAAGGCUCACCAAGGCAACGAUCAGUAGCUGGUCUGAGAGGACGACCAGCCACACUGGAACUGAGAAACGGUCCAGACUCCUACGGGAGGCAGCAGUGGGGAAUUUUGGACAAUGGGGGCAACCCUGAUCCAGCAAUGCCGCGUGAGUGAAGAAGGCCUUCGGGUUGUAAAGCUCUUUUGUCAGGGAAGAAAAGGCUGUGGCUAAUAUCCACAGCUGCUGACGGUACCUGAAGAAUAAGCACCGGCUAACUACGUGCCAGCCGCCGCCGUAACAC